CUAAAAAUAGGUUUCUAAAGCAGCAAUUACAUGUGGAACAGUGGUUGCCAAUCAGAGGUAUUUAUUUACCUUUGAAAAAUUAUAUACGAUUCCUUAUACAUCUAUAUACAGGAUAUAUUAAAGCUUAUUAUAGGAAGAACAAGUCACAAGAGGGUUUCAUAAGAAAUAAAAAUUAAAAUAUAAAAUCCUCCCACCCGCCCCAUUUUUUUCAAAAAUUUGGAUGAAAAUCUACUAAUUAAUUUUAGUUGGCCUAAU
rnacentral:lncRNA from 1 species